rnacentral:rRNA from 1 species
UUAACGAGUUAGGGUCUCUCUGGCCCGACCUCCCAACCCUUUGUCUACUUGACCAUCGUUGCUUCGGCGAGCCCGUCCUCACGGACCGCCGGAGGGAUCUUUACUGGCCCUCUGGUCCGCGCUCGUCGGUAGCCCAACCUUUAAAAUCUUUAACUAAACGUGCCUUAAUCUAAGUACAAUUAUUAAAUAAAAGCAAAACUUUCAACAACGGAUCUCUUGGUUCUGGCAUCGAUGAAGAACGCAGCGAAAUGCGAUAAGUAAUGCGAAUUGCAGAAUUCCAGUGAGUCAUCGAAUCUUUGAACGCACAUUGCGCCCUUUGGUAUUCCGAAGGGCAUGCCUGUUCGAGCGUCAUUAUCACCCCUCAAGCCCUCGGCUUGGUGUUGGACGGUUUGGUGGAGGCCCCCUCGGGGGUUCCUGCCCCUCCCAAAGACAAUGACGGCGGCCUCGUUGGACCCCCGGUACACUGAGUUCUUCACGGGACACGUAUCGGACACAUGGGUUUACGGGACACGGUCUGCCUCCCCUCAGGGAGAAUCUUUCUAAGGUUGACCUCGGAUCAGGUAGGGAUACCCGCUGAACUUAAGCAUAUCAAUAAGCGGAGGAAAAGAAACCAACAGGGAUUGCCUCAGUAACGGCGAGUGAAGCGGCAACAGCUCAAUUUGAAAUCUGGCCUCUUUGGGGUCCGAGUUGUAAUUUGUAGAGGA